rnacentral:lncRNA from 1 species
UAUUUAAUUGUGAUCUUGAUCCGACAACUUAAACUCAAGACUUGGCUUCUCUCGUAAAAAUAUUUUUAACAAAUCAUGCAUAUAUAAUUUAGAGCAAAAUGAUUUUAAAUAAUGCAUAUUUACUUUAGUUAAUAUGAUUUUUAAACAUGCCUCUAAAAUCUUGACUAAGAUACUCGAUUAUGUACUUAUGAUAAUCGAUUAUAUUUAAGUCAGCUGCUUAACAAUCGAUUGUGAACUUAUGACAAUCGAUUGUGUUAAGGCAGUGAGCAUCAGAUUUUUCAAAUCUGCAUGACAAUCGAUUGUGAACCUN